UGGGGAAUUUUGGACAAUGGGCGCAAGCCUGAUCCAGCCAUGCCGCGUGCGGGAAGAAGGCCUUCGGGUUGUAAACCGCUUUUGUCAGGGAAGAAAAGGUUCUGGUUAAUACCUGGGACUCAUGACGGUACCUGAAGAAUAAGCACCGGCUAACUACGUGACAGCAGCCGCGGUAAUACGUAGGGUGCAAGCGUUAAUCGGAAUUACUGGGCGUAAAGCGUGCGCAGGCGGUUAUGCAAGACGGAGGUGAAAUCCCCGGGCUCAACCUGGGAACUGCCUUUGUGACUGCAUAGCUAGAGUACGGUAGAGGGGGAUGGAAUUCCGCGUGUAGCAGUGAAAUGCGUAGAUAUGCGGAGGAACACCGAUGGCGAAGGCAAUCCCCUGGACCUGUACUGACGCUCAUGCACGAAAGCGUGGGGAGCAAACAGG
rnacentral:rRNA from 1 species